rnacentral:rRNA from 1 species
GAUGAACGCUGGCGGCGUGCCUAAUACAUGCAAGUCGAGCGAACAGACGAGGAGCUUGCUCCUCUGACGUUAGCGGCGGACGGGUGAGUAACACGUGGAUAACCUACCUAUAAGACUGGGAUAACUUCGGGAAACCGGAGCUAAUACCGGAUAAUAUAUUGAACCGCAUGGUUCAAUAGUGAAAGACGGUUUUGCUGUCACUUAUAGAUGGAUCCGCGCCGCAUUAGCUAGUUGGUAAGGUAACGGCUUACCAAGGCAACGAUGCGUAGCCGACCGGAGGGGGGGAUCGGCCACACGGGAGCUGAGACACGACCCAGACUCCUACGGGAGGCAGCAGUAGGGAAUCUUCCGCAAUGGGCGAAAGCCUGACGGAGCAACGCCGCGUGAGUGAUGAAGGUCUUCGGAUCGUAAAACGCUGUUAUUAGGGAAGAACAAAUGUGUAAGUAACUAUGCACGUCUGGACGGUACCUAAUCAGAAAGCCACGGCUAACUACGU